CUCCACGAGAAAAGAGGAAGAGAGCAGAGGAGGGAUACAGCCAGAGUGCCGAAGAGGGAACAAGCAAAGUUCCCAACACUGAAGCUCUGGCGAAGAAGAAGAGGAAGGGGGCACUGAACCGGCCCAAGAGAACAACUCGAGGACAGAAGAAAGCCGCCGAGCCAGAAACUUCUCAAGGAAAGAGAAAGAGAGCUGAGGAGGGAUGCAGCCAGAGUGAGGGAACAAGCAACACUUAAGCUCCGGCAGGGAAGAAGAGCAAAGAGGCAGUGAACCAACCCAAGACAUCAACGAAGGGACAGAACAAAGCCACUGAGCCAGAAGCUCCUCGAGGAAAGAGAAAGAGAGCUGAG